rnacentral:miRNA from 1 species
ACUUCACUGAGCUUUGGACCAG